rnacentral:rRNA from 1 species
AAUAUUGGACAAUGGGGGCAACCCUGAUCCAGCAAUGCCGCGUGUGUGAAGAAGGCUGCGGGUUGUAAAGCACUUUCAGUGGGGAAGAUGGGCUGCGUGUAACGAGCGCAGUUUGACGUUACCCACAGAAGAAGCACCGGCUAACUCCGUGCCAGCAGCCGCGGUAAUACGGAGGGUGCAAGCGUUAAUCGGAAUUACUGGGCGUAAAGCGCGCGUAGGCGGCUGGGUAAGUCAGAUGUGAAAGCCCCGGGCUCAACCUGGGAAUUGCAUUUGAUACUGCCUGGCUAGAGUCUGUCAGAGGGUGGCGGAAUUCCGGGUGUAGCGGUGAAAUGYGUAGAUAUYCGGAGGAACACCAGUGGCGAAGGCGGCMACCUGGGACGAGACUGACGCUGAGGUGCGAAAG